GACAUAUCUUUCGUUACACUUCCGCCGUUGCGCUCAACAUUGUCACUUCGGGCGAGAGACACGAAUAUUUUUAAGAAUUUUAUAGACGAAUAUACCAUAUUUUGACGUUCUAUAAAUCAACUUCAAAAGGACUAUUUGGCGCCAGCGUAUGACGCCGGCCACGCCGUUCCAUUCACAUUCAUUACGAACAUCCUGUACGUCUGAUCGCGAGAAAUAGUAAUCGAGGUGAUCGGCAUCCUGUGGAAGAAACUCCAGCGUACCAGUGAUCAGUAGAUUCUUGUAAUUCGUCAACACUACAAUCUUCAAUGGCAUAUCGCGAUCGCGAACGCAAUGACAGACGAGGUGGUGGUGCACGUGGAGGUGGUCGAUUUGGCGGACGAGAUAGCGGCGGAGGAGGCGGAGGUGGCGGCAGUAGAUUCGGCAGCAGCGGUGGAAGCAGAGACAACGGUUUCGGCAACAGUAGCUUCAAGAACCGUCAGCCUGGCGAACGUCUUCGUAAACCGCGAUGGGAUAUGAGCACGUUGCAACCAUUCAGAAAAGACUUCUACCAACCACAUCCAAAUGUAAUGACAAGGAGUCUUCACGCAGUGGAGGCAUACCGUGUGAAUAAGGAGAUUACGGUGAAGGGAACUAACGUCCCAGGUCCCAAUAUUUAUUUCGAAGAAGGUGGUUUCCCGGAUUAUGUUCUCAAUGAGAUCCGCAGGCAAGGUUUCGGUGAACCAACCGCGAUUCAAGCGCAAGGUUGGCCCAUUGCCUUGUCCGGUCGCGACAUGGUCGGUAUAGCGCAAACUGGCUCGGGAAAGACAUUGGCGUAUAUUCUACCUGCGAUCGUACACAUCAAUCAUCAGCCCCGAUUGAGCAGAAACGACGGUCCGAUCGCGUUGAUUCUUGCGCCGACUCGGGAAUUGGCGCAGCAAAUUCAGCAAGUGGCAUCAGACUUCGGUAUGUCCUCGCAAGUGCGAAACACGUGUAUCUUUGGCGGUGCUCCAAAAGGACCACAAGCACGUGAUCUCGAGCGUGGAGUAGAGAUUUGCAUCGCUACUCCUGGACGUUUGAUAGAUUUUUUGGAACGUGGCACUACAAAUUUACGUAGGUGUACGUAUCUAGUGCUGGACGAAGCUGAUAGGAUGCUUGAUAUGGGCUUUGAGCCGCAAAUUAGGAAAAUUGUAGAACAAAUUCGACCCGACCGUCAGACACUCAUGUGGUCCGCUACAUGGCCGAAGGAAGUGCGUAAUCUCGCGGAGGAAUUUUUAACGGACUACAUACAGAUCAAUAUUGGUUCGCUGCAACUGGCUGCCAAUCACAAUAUCCUCCAGAUCGUGGAUGUGUGCGAAGAAUAUGAGAAGGAGGGUAAACUCAUGAAACUAUUGGAGGAGAUCUCCAAUGAACCGGAAAAUAAGACUAUAAUAUUUGUGGAGACUAAGAGGAAAGUGGAUGAUAUAACAAGAGCUAUUAAUAGAUACGGAUGGCAGGCAAUUGGCAUCCAUGGAGACAAAAGCCAACAAGAGAGAGACUAUGUACUAAACCAGUUCCGGAAUAGCAGAUCAGCGAUCCUAGUGGCUACUGACGUGGCGGCGAGAGGUCUAGAGGCACAUGCGACGGAGUUUUAUCAAUGAUAAGAACUCUGGAGAGCUUGCUUGGAAAAUAUAUUUGAAUGGGGCGUGACUGCUGGUCUCCGCCCCCUCGCAACAAGCUAUUGUAACGCUGUGCCUCGGCCCACCGUGCCACUCGAAAAACCCUCUCACUCUGUACCUGCGACGGUCCAAAGUAUGGAGAUAUCGUAAUGUUAGGGCGUCUAGCAUGCCAGGACAACCAAAACAAAACAAAAAAAAUGAUAUGCGAAGGGAUAGAGAUUAUUGCCGGUUCCAUUCGUUGCAAUAGUAGAUCGUAACAAAUUACAUCAAGUUGCAUUGCAAUAAUCGUGAUGCCCUGGACCCGGGCGAUUAUCGACCAUCGUUUCUUUUUUUCUUUUUUUUUUCUUUUUUUUAUGCUGAAAUUACCAACAGUACACUGAUGAGCGUGAACUUCGCGCCGCACAUUUUAUAACUUCGGCCGGACAAUUGGACGAGGAAUAACCACACAGUGAUUGUCGACAAUAAUUUCAGCAUCAAAGUGUAUGAAGGGAGUUGUUCACAAUAUUGCAGUGCGUAAUUCUUGAUGCUAAUUGUUCAAUGGAGUACGCGCGUGGGGUUGAGUGGAGAACACACGCAAGACGCACGCUUGGUGUUCCAACCAUUCCAACCGGAGCAGUGUACAAGGACCAAAUUUUGAAAUACCAGCCGAGAUCCAUACUUUGGUGCGGUAGAGAAGGGUGUAACGUUUGCAUAAGAAUAAUACUAUAGAGCUCGCUAAAUACGUGAAGCGAGAAUUCCAUGAGAACCAUCUGAGCUCUGAUUCCUCUACAUUUCCAAAACAAAUGUAUUUACAUUUCCAGCUCUAGUCGCAAACAGAUGUCGAGGAUGUCAAAUUUGUGAUUAACUUGGACUAUCCGUCCAACUCUGAGGACUAUGUGCACCGUAUCGGACGUACGGGCCGCUCGCAGCGUACGGGAACAGCGUACGCCUUUUUCACUCCUGGCAAUGCGCACAAGGCUAGUGACUUAAUUCAAGUUCUCGAAGAGGCUAAGCAAGUUGUCA
rnacentral:misc_RNA from 1 species